rnacentral:rRNA from 1 species
AGUGAACGCUGGCGGUAGGCCUAACACAUGCAAGUCGAACGGCAGCACAGGAGAGCUUGCUCUCUGGGUGGCGAGUGGCGGACGGGUGAGGAAUACAUCGGAAUCUACUCUGUCGUGGGGGAUAACGUAGGGAAACUUACGCUAAUACCGCAUACGACCUACGGGUGAAAGCAGGGGACCUUCGGGCCUUGCGCGAUUGAAUGAGCCGAUGUCGGAUUAGCUAGUUGGGGGGGUAAAGGCCCACCAAGGCGACGAUCCGUAGCUGGUCUGAGGGAUUGAGCAGCCACCUUGGAACUGGGACACGGUCCAGACUCCUGCGGGAGGCAGCAGUGGGGAAUAUUGGACAAUGGGCGCAAGCCUGAUCCAGCCAUACCGCGUGGGUGAAGAAGGCCUUCGGGUUGUAAGCCCUUUUGUUGGGAAAGAAAUUCAGCUGGCUAUACCCGGUUGGGAUGACGGUACCCAAAGAAUAAGCACCGGCUGACUUCGUGCCAGCCGCCGCGGUAA